rnacentral:rRNA from 1 species
UACGUAGGGUGCAAGCGUUGUCCGGAAUUAUUGGGCGUAAAGAGCUCGUAGGCGGUCUGUCACGUCUGCUGUGAAAACUCGGGGCUUAACCCCGGGUCGGCAGUGGAUACGGGCAGGCUAGAGGUAGGUAGGGGAGAAUGGAAUUCCCGGUGUAGCGGUGAAAUGCGCAGAUAUCAGGAGGAACACCGGUGGCGAAGGCGGUUCUCUGGGCCUUACCUGACGCUGAGGAGCGAAAGCGUGGGGAGCGAACAGG